UACGUAGGGGGCAAGCGUUGUCCGGAUUCAUUGGGCGUAAAGAGCGUGUAGGCGGCCAGAUAGGUCAGCUGUGAAAACUCGGGGCUCAACCCUGAGACGGUCGGUUGGAAACCAUCUGGCUAGAGCCGGAAGAGGAGUGUGGAAUUCCCGGUGUAGCGGUGGAAAUGCGCAGAUAUCGGGAAGAACACCCGUGGCGAAGGCGGCACUCUGGGACGGGUACUGGACGGCUGAGACGCGAAAGCGUGGGGAGGCGAACAGG
rnacentral:rRNA from 1 species